rnacentral:tRNA from 1 species
GCCGGUUUAGCUCAGUUGGUAGAGCAACGGUUUUGUAAACCGAAGGUCGCGGGUUCGAGCCCUGCAACCGGCACCA